AUUAAAAAUUGUAAAAUGGCCUCUAAUAAAUGUUUGCGACUAUUAUAAUAACGAAUUUAUAAAUGAAAAUCGCGAUUUUGAACGUGUACAGUGCGAAGAACCGGUGCAAAUUAAAAUACUGUCGUGAAUUUCGGUAUCCAUCUAACCUGUGAUGUCUAAUUUGAGUGCAAAAAUGAAUACAAACAAGAACAAGUGGUGUUUAUUUACAAUAUCGGAUUCCUAACCCUACUUUUAUGUAAACAAUAAACAACCACAGCCAAAAUGAGGCACUUGGAGAAAUUUCAGAUAAGUUCCACCUCGUCCGAUGGAUUCGACGUCAAAUCCGAGUACUUUGAAUCACUGGACAUGAAAUCGGAGUACUUCGACGACAUAGAAGACAUGAAAGAACAGAUACCUGAUCUUCUAGACGAAAACUUUAUUAAACAAGAACUUUGUCAUGAAAAGGACAGUUUGAUCGGUGCUAAUCUAAACCUGGACGACAACGACUCAGGCGAAGAGUUCGAUCCUAUUCUCAAAAGCGAGGUCAAGAAGAACAGGAGGAAAGCAACAGCACCACAGCGAGCAAUCCAAAUUGAGAAUGGAUCGAUUGGCAACAGUUCUGAGUCUUCGCAGGAUUUAGUUGAGAGUUUGGGCACAAGUUUUAUGAACAAUCAAGCGGGCUUAUGCAUGAUUCUGGGGGUUCAAGACAAUAUCAUUGAUCCUGCAGAAGGUGGGGAUAUUUUGAAUGAGAUCAACGAGGAUGAUAUUUUUAAGGAUCUCCAAGAGGAAGCUGAUGGUGAAAAAAUUGACAGUGAAAUAUUAGAUAAUGUGAAAGAAGAAUGGCGAGCCCAUUGGGGCAUAAAAUGCAAUAUGUGCGAACAAGUUUUCCCGCACAAGUUUAAAUUCGACGAACAUUACACCACUACUUAUAAUUUAGUGCCAGUUUAUACUUGCACCUUUUGCAAUAAGACUGCUGAAAAAUAUUCAACUUUCAGAUCUCAUUGUUACCGUCACAUAACUGAGGGUAGAUACAAGUGUGAUGAGUGUUCCAAAGGAUUUAGUUUAAGGAGCAUGCUUCAUGUACAUAUUCUGGCCAAACACACCAAAGCAAAGCCUUUUAUAUGUGAAGAGUGUGGGAGGAGUUUUGUGACCAAACCAGGAUUGAAAAUACAUUUAAAAAAACAUAAGACUGAAACUAAGGAAGACUAUCCUUGUGUAGAAUGCGGGAAAAUAUUACACACAAGAGGCGGACUAACAUCACAUAUGAAUGUACACAGACUUGGCAGGAGAUUUAUGUGUGACGUGUGUGGAAAAACGUUCACCCAAAAAGUCAACAUGCAGCAACACGUCAAGCAGCAUACAGGAGACAAACCCCAUGUCUGUGAUAAAUGUGGAAAAACGUUUGCUGAAAAAUCCCACUUGGCAAGGCACUAUAGUUUCCACAGUGACGUUCGUCCGUUCAAAUGCAAAGUAUGCCAAAAAAUGUACAAGACUGAAAGGUGCUUAAAGGUCCAUAGUCUGGUUCAUGCGGAGGCCCGGCCCUUCGUUUGCGAUUAUUGUCACAAGGGAUUUCUGAGCAGCACCAAACUGAAGCAACACUACAAUAUACACACAGGCGAACGCCCGUACAAAUGCAAGUACUGCGAACGAACAUUUACGAACUACCCGAACUGGCUGAAGCACACACGUCGCCGUCACAAAGUCGAUCACAAGACCGGCGCCGAACUGGAACCGAAGCCGACAGUGGCGUACUUACCGAAAGAGGAAUCCGCCCCAGCUGUUGUGGUCAACGCCACCGUCCCCAGUGCGGAUCCUUUGUUUGCGAAGCCGCAGCUGGACGCGGAUAGUGAGCAGAUACUGGCCGACAUCAGCAUGCUGAAAACUGAAGACCUGUUGCAGCAGGGGCUGCUCAAUUUUACGCCAGUUGACGAUAAGUUUUUGAUGCAGCCCCAAUUGGAUCUCAAUUCUGGAGGCAGCUCAAUGGGGUUAUUGGUGCCGUAUUUCCAAUCAACGUUGCCAUCACAUCAGACCCUGAGACAGCCCAACACGUCGACAGUAAUACCGCUACAAUUGAGUGAAUUUUUACACACUUCUUACAUUCAACAGACGUUACCUUGUGAUUAGAAGUUGUUUCAGGUUGCAAGUACAUCGAGAAUGGGUAUUUAAGUUUCCUGUUCCAGUACAUGUUGUAAUUUGGAGAUUUUACUUUUUGAUUAGCUUUUUGAAUAAAGUCAGCUUAUGUAUGAAUUGUUAAUUAAUAUUAAUAAUUAUAAGAGUAAACGAAACGAUUUAUGUAAAAAUAUUUUUUCACAAUUUGGUCUCAUAAUUAAAGCUGCAUAUGUGGUUGAAAUUUGUUGGUAUGAAGACUGAAAAUUGAUUACACCCUGUUCUUUUUUUAUGUUUUCAUAAUAAUAAUCAACUUAAGAAAAGAUUUAAUACCGGAACGUCACAUGCAAUAUCGUGAUAUUUUAAACAUAACGGACUUAAUCCAAAGUCUAACAUGUAACGCUCAGUUACGAUCUAUAUUCUAAGUCAUACUUUAUAAAAUAUUAGGUAAUAGUUAAGCUUAGCUCUCUAGUACAGUAAACUUUUAAUUAUACAUAUUUUAAUCAUAAGUAUAAUUUUACUAGGGUGUUUUCAACAGUGUUUUUUGUGCAUCGAUAUUUGUUAUCCGUACUUGAACGUCUGUGAAGUGAAUUAUAUAUAUAAUUUUGCAUGCAUCUUAAACAUCAUGUAUCCACUUUUACUGCUCGUGAAACCCAAAAAGUAUUAUUAAUCAUUAAACGCAUAAAAAAUCAAAUCAAUAAUGUAUACUUCUUUAUUAGACAAUCUUAAAAUUAGGAGAAUGUGUUUCAGCGUAUUUACAUUCCAAAUAAUGUGACAAAUGUGUUUUGUAACUCCCUGUAUAAAUUUAUGUAAACGGCCUAUUUCAAAUUUUGCGUGUACAAAUAUAUUUUUGUAAGUUUAUAUAAUAUGUGUUAGAGUAAGAGUUGAAAUACAAGAAUACUAUGAUCACAACAUGUCUCUUUUU